GGCAGAGGGUGCUAGCGUUGUUCGGAAUGACUGGGCGUAAAGGGCGCGUAGGCUGUUAAUCAAGUUAGGUGUGAAAGCCCCGGGCUUAACCUGGGAACUGCAUUUAAUACUGGUUGACUGGAGAGCGGGAGAGGAAAGCGGAAUUCCUAGUGUAGAAGUGAAAUCUGUAGAUAUUAGGAGGAACACCAGAGGCGAAGGCGGCUUUCUGGCUCGCAACUGACGCUGAGGCGCGAAAGCGUGGGGAGCAAACAGG
rnacentral:rRNA from 1 species